UUUUUCAUCCAAAAGAUUUGGACCGACUACGGUUAGUACUAUCUGGACUACUGAGUACCCUAGAUCUACAGAGCAGAAAAAUGGAAGUAUUAUCUGGCACUAGUUCUAAAACUUUACUGUGGCAGUGUUUGUGUACCCUGAACAAGUCAACUGAUGUAGUGCAGAGAGCAAAUAAGAACUCAUUGAUGUACUAUACCUUAACAUACCUGGAGGAUACAAGGUAUA